rnacentral:rRNA from 1 species
GACGAACGCUGGCGGCGUGCCUAACACAUGCAAGUCGAACGGAAAGGCCCUGCUUUUGUUGGGCGCUCGAGUGGCGAACGCGUGAGUAACACGUGAGUAUCCCGCCCUUGUCUUUGGGAUAUCUUUAGGAAACUGGGGCUCAUAUCGGAUAGGAGCUCCUGCUGCAUGUUGGGGGAUGGAAAGUUUCCGCGGUUGGGGAUGGACUCGCGGCUUAUCCGCUUGUUGGUGGGGUAGUGGCUUACCAAGGCUUUGACGGGUAGCCGGCCUGAGAGGGUGACCGGCCACAUUGGGACUGAGAUACGGCCCAGACUCCUACGGGAGGCAGCAGUGGGGAAUAUUGCACAAUGGGCGGAAGCCUGAUGCAGCAACGCCGCGUGCGGGAUGACGGCCUUCGGGUUGUAAACCGCUUUCGACUGUGACGAAGCGUGAGUGACGGUAAUGGGUAAAGAAGCACCGGCUAACUACGUG